AGGUUUACGAGCUACAUGGCCCUGGUAAAUAUAUUAUCCAUUCACUUUACUUCUUUUCCACUAACUCAUACUUCAACAAACAGCAUGGCAACCACCGGUAACUGAAGAUAUGCAAGGUUGAGGAAUGACUUCUGAGGCAUUGAAGUUUGAAUGAUCUCUUAAGUUCUUCCACUCCCUUGAAUACUAUUUGAAUUUGGAUGCUGGAUUGGAAGCCUUGGGUGAGUUGAGUUGGUAAGGAACCUCAUUGCCAAAAGUAAAUCAUGUUUGCAGAAAAUUACUGCAGUGCUCUAUGAUCAGUUGUUUGAGGUGGAAAUUUCCAGUUGGUGGUUGAAAGGAAAAUUUGUUUAGUAAAGGUAGCUUAGGGUUUGCAUGCUUAUUAUUUUGGCACAUCAGUACAAGGUCUGCUGAAGUGCCUUGAAGACAGUUUAAUGUUGUGCUGUUUUUGGACCGGUUCCACUUGAAUUUAGUGGAUUGAAUUGUAAAGUGACUAUCUUGAUUCUUUAUCUCUACAGAUACACUCUCGAUUUUCUACAAA
rnacentral:misc_RNA from 1 species